UACGGAGGAUGCAAGUGUUAUCCGGAAUCACUGGGCGUAAAGCGUCUGUAGGUGGUUUGCUAAGUCUGUUGUUAAAGCUUGAAGCUCAACUUCAAAAAUGCAAUAGAAACUAGUAGACUUGAGUAUGGUAGGGGUAGAGGGAAUUUCCAGUGAAGUGGUGAAAUGCGUAGAUAUUGGAAAGACCGCCAAAGGCGAAGGCACUCUACUGGGCCACAACUGACACUGAGAGACGAAAGCUAGGGGAGCAAAUGGG
rnacentral:rRNA from 1 species